rnacentral:rRNA from 1 species
UGGGGAAUUUUGGACAAUGGGGGAAACCCUGAUCCAGCCAUCCCGCGUGUGCGAUGAAGGCCUUCGGGUUGUAAAGCACUUUUGGCAGGAAAGAAACGUCGCGGGUUAAUACCCCGCGAAACUGACGGUACCUGCAGAAUAAGCACCGGCUAACUACGUGCCAGCAGCCGCGGUAAUACGUAGGGUGCAAGCGUUAAUCGGAAUUACUGGGCGUAAAGCGUGCGCAGGCGGUUCGGAAAGAAAGAUGUGAAAUCCCAGAGCUUAACUUUGGAACUGCAUUUUUAACUACCGGGCUAGAGUGUGUCAGAGGGAGGUGGAAUUCCGCGUGUAGCAGUGAAAUGCGUAGAUAUGCGGAGGAACACCGAUGGCGAAGGCAGCCUCCUGGGAUAACACUGACGCUCAUGCACGAAAGCGUGGGGGAGCAAACAGGAUUAGAUACCCUGGUAGUCCACGCCCUAAAACGAUGUCAACUAGCUGUUGGGGCCUUCGGGCCUUGGUAGCGCAGCUAACGCGUAAGUUGACCGCCUGGGGAGUACGGUCGC